AGGGAUGUAGUUUGGUGGGUGAAUAUGUGCUUAGCAUGUAUGAGGCCCUGGGUUCAAUCCCCAGCACCUUCU
rnacentral:tRNA from 1 species